UAAAUAAAUAUAAAAAAGAUAAUACAUAAAUAAUGAAAAUAGAAUAUACAAAUAUAAUAGUGAAUUUAUAUAUUAUCAUCUAUUAUAUAUAAAACAUAAUGAAUAAGUAUUAAAAUAAAUAAAAAAUAAAAUGAUCAGAACCCGCCCUUGGGUCUCAUCCAGCCCCAGUGCAAUGAGCCCAGGAUUCUAGAAUCACAAUGCUUCCAGCUGUCUCUCUGUCCAGCUUUUCUAUCACAGUCCAGAGCACCAGCACAGAGAUGCUGGUAACAUCCCAGCUGAAAGGCACCCAGCUGUACAAGGGAUGAGAAAGUGACUAUGAGCUGCCCAUCCUGGGAGGUUCCUCCCUUGAAUAAAGACCCUUCUCUUGGGGCUGGGUGCCGUAGAGGAGGAGAAGGAGGAGGAGGAGGAGGAGGAGUGCUUCCAAGCUGGCCUGUGCUGGGGAGUGCAUUGUCUCUCAGCUCCACCCCAGAAAGAAACAAAGUUCAAAGUCUCUCGGAUUCUCCUGGCCAGCUCAACUCUCCAACAAUCCAAGAGCCAAGUUUCUUUUUCUUAUCAGCUUCAACUACCCAGAGUCAGAGAGACAGAGACCAAGUCCAAAAGCCAAGUUUCUCUUCUCAGUGUGGCACACAAACUCCCAACUGCCACUCCUAGGAACAUUCCGUUGGAAUCUUCUCUCGAUUGACAGCUUGAGCUAGGUCUCCAGUCUUGCAUCCUCCUUUACAAGCCCUCUCUCUCCCCAGCCUCUACUACAGCUGUUCCUGUCCAGAUGAAAUGGGGCCAAGACUUAAACUCGGAUUUUUACACAACCAUCUUCACAUUCUCUAGAAGUUGCUUUUCUAUGUAAAUGAGAAAAUUAAAAUGAUUGAAUUUUUCAAAAGAAGUCAAAGAGGCAAAAAUCCAAAGGAAUCAUCUUCUCUGGCCCAGAAGCAGGGAGAGGAAGCAGAAGGCGAGGACAUAGUGGAGGCUUUCAUUGCUCACAAGGGCAAUGAAGGAGCAUCGGGGAGGGCACCAGGACAAGCCAGGGUGCUGGUAGACUGCGUGGAGACUCUCAUUCUGCUCUACUAAAAGCCUUAACAGCCUUUCCUGGGAUGUUGAUGUCGGGAUUGUCCCCUCCUGAUCCCUUGACUUGUGCCUUUGGAGGGACUGGGUGUUAGGGAGAGGGAGGAACACAAGGGUACCAAAGUGGUUCUUCU
rnacentral:lncRNA from 1 species